rnacentral:lncRNA from 1 species
CGGAAGUAUAUUGGAGGAUGACGUGGUCAAAUUUGAGGUUAAUUGGAGGAAGUUUGGUACAUGGAAUGACGAGAUAACUGUGUGUUUAGGGGUUAAAACAAGGCUUAGGAGCUUAACUGCGAGGAACCAGGGACCUAUUUGCGAAUAUUUCUGGGAGGUGGAAGGGCAUAUAUGUGAGACAAUCUUUGAGAGAGGUGGGAGGGCUGGUUGGUAAAUAGGGGAAACGUGAGGGUUAGAUUGAAAAGGGGGGCUUUCUUCCUCCUCCUUUGAACCGUGACUCAGAGAGAAGAGAGGAGGGGAAACCGGUGGGGGCCGGCCGGCCUAGGCUCGUCGGCAGCGAGGUUUGGCGGUGGGGAAGGUAGAGGAGGCUGUGCGGACUCCAUUUUGGCCCUCACCUUGGCGAAUCGACGACGGGAAGUGAGGGGGUUGGUGGUGGACAGGGGGCGGCUCGGGCGGAGCUCCGGCGAGGGCAGCGCAUGGGGUGGCACUUGGGCGCAGGGGGCGACGGUGCUGGUGGUGUCGGAGGAGAGGGUGAGGUGAUGCUAAGGCUCCAGGCGUCAAAGCCCCUUUUAUAGGCGAGGAACAGAGGAAGCG